AUACCGCUUGCCAUUUAUAUGUGCCGCAUAGAGAAGCACGGAGGCUCACAUUUAGGUUCUGGCUUCACGGUAUCAAUCAAAUCAUGGAGUAAAAUAAGAACACAGCUUCGUUUCCCGACCACUCACGGUGCUUUACAGGCUAACAUUAGCGUCCCGUGCUCCUGCCUGCCAAUCUGUACUGAUGUUAGAGGAGCGGUGACGAGUGCAGCGACUAUGCAGCUCAACACGUCAUCAGCAAACUAGUUGGGAUUGUUAAAGCUUGUUUCAAAGAAAAUGACCAUGAAGAAUUGAAAGGACAGAGUUACUAUAACUCUUGGUUUGAAGUGUGGCUCCUCACACCCUAAACAGACGGAUGGGUUUACUGGGUUACUCAGGAAACACUUGCUAGUCAAAUCAAUUCAUUGCUGUUUUAUUCUUGGGAUUUGUUCACGAUUCGAAAAAAUAGAAAAUAUCACCAAGUGUAUCCGCCUAGCAGUUUAAAAUUAGGUGUUGUUGAUGCAACCGGCAAGUGAACAUAACACGAUUUGAGGAAUUCACACAACUGGCCCCAAAACAAACUACAGUGGACUGCAGCGAAACGCUCGGGUGUCACAGUAUCUCACUUCCUCUCUCGCUCUCACUCUGCUGCGUCUCGUCUCCGUCCUCGUGCCUCGCAGAGAGUGUUUUCCGUGCUCAAAAUGACGGGGACUGCGUGUCCUUGACGGCAGCUGGCCUCCCAGUGAGAAACCAGCCAUUUACAUGCUAAUCUCAACCACUGCUCACUCGAAAAUCUGCAGAUGGAACAUCUCUGAUUCCUGCCGGCGUGAAGGGGGCAGCGGAGAGGCUUUUGUGCUAUAUGUGCACUUUUGCAUGCAUUACAGAAAGUGGUUUUUCCUGCAGGAUGAUCCGCAGAAGAACCCCGCUAUAAACGAGUGUAGAGCUUUACGUAAUCCGUCAGAGUGGUUGGAGUUUCUCGCACAAAGCGCUCAUGUAACAAAACUCUCGCUUUGACAAACCUCCGGCGGUGAGGAUUUCUGUACGUCUCUUUCCGGAGCCCUGACCUUGAACUCUUGACGCACCUGUGGACGAUCUCAGCAGACACUCGCGCAGAUGUUAGUCACUGUGCAGUUUGUGCAAAUUGUCACACAUCUUCCCUUCUUUUCUCCUUUUAAAUGUGUCAUUCCUUGUACUACCAUUGUCGCUCUAUGACUUGUCACUAUCAAUGUGCAGCUUCGAAUCAGUGCUCUCUCUCUCUCUCUCUUUCUGUCGUUGUGUCUCUCUUUCUGCUUUGCCGCUGACUGUUUGUGUGUCUGUUUUCUCUGCUUUCUCCAUGUCUCUGUGUGUGUCGUCCGUCUCUGGUCCUUCCUGUCAGUGUCCGGCCAUCGUCUCUCUCGGGGCAGCCCACCUCGGCUCCCUCCACUCCCACGGCGGCGGGCAGCGCCGCCUAUGCCGCUCUGUUCCCCACCAGUCUGACUGUUCACAGCUUCGUCAGUCUCCAUCAGUACUGCUGCCCCUCCACUGACCAAAGCUUACAGCAGGAGGACAGAGAGGAGGGCGAGGACGAGGGCGCCCAUCAGUUCUGUUGCCCCGCCUCGGGCUGCAGCAGCCCCUCCUCUCGCUGAGCCGACGUGUGACCGGCCGCACCACGACUCGCUCGACCAUUUACCUGUGAAAAAGAGACUAUCACGGUUUACGCUGCCAGAAAAACAAAAACAAAACAAACAAAAAAACGGAGACCUCACUGUGUACCAAAAAAACUUUUCAAAGCAUUUUUAGAGGGAGGGGAAAUAAAAACAUACGUGCAUGUAACUUGUGGUCUCUGUGACAGUUGUGCUAUCAGUGGUUCAUUCAUGUGUCACAUAGAUUUCUGCUUUAAUUUAUAAGAUUCUUGAUGUUGUCUUCUCUCCUUAUUCUUUGCUGUUUGUUCCUUUUUCCUGCAGCCAUAUCAGGCUGUCGGAGUGCAUCACCGUCGUGCGCUCAUUACUGUCGCGUUCACGCUCAUCUUGGGUUCUCUAGUUGAGUCAUGUCAGUGCGGAUGUGCUCAGUAGUCACCAUUUGUUAUCUGUGCAAAUCGCCCAUACCAUCCUGUCACCAACCUUCACGUAAUGUCAGAGACGCUAGCCUCUCUUUCUGUUAUGCAAACACAUUAAUCGUAUGUUGAUUUGAUUGUUCCUACACAUCGGAUAAAUUAUUGUCUCAUCCCUAAUCGUGUUUUUUCAUGACCUUGACGAGGUUUAUUUAGCUUGUUGAUUUAACUCCAAAAAAAACACACACACACACGUAAUAAAGAUCUCUAGUUCC